UCCGGGGGGGGUAAGCGUUGUUCGGAAUUACUGGGCGUAAAGGGCUCGUAGGCGGCCAACUAAGUCAUACGUGAAAUCCCUCAGCUUAACUGGGGAACUGCGUGUGAUACUGGAUGGCUUGGAUUUGGGAGAGGGAUGCGGAAUUCCAGGUGUAGCGGUGAAAUGCGUAGAUAUCUGGAGGAACACCGGUGGCGAAGGCGGCAUCCUGGACCAACACUGACGCUGAGUGAGCGAAAGCCAGGGGAGCAAACGGG
rnacentral:rRNA from 1 species